rnacentral:rRNA from 1 species
GGUGAACGCUGGCGGCGUGCCUAAUACAUGCAAGUCGAGCGAACAGACGAGGAGCUUGCUCCUCUGACGUUAGCGGCGGACGGGUGAGUAACACGUGGAUAACCUACCUAUAAGACUGGGAUAACUUCGGGAAACCGGAGCUAAUACCGGAUAAUAUAUUGAACCGCAUGGUUCAAUAGUGAAAGACGGUUUUGCUGUCACUUAUAGAUGGAUCCGCGCCGCAUUAGCUAGUUGGUAAGGUAACGGCUUACCAAGGCGACGAUGCGUAGCCGACCUGAGAGGGUGAUCGGCCACACUGGAACUGAGACACGGUCCAGACUCCUACGGGAGGCAGCAGUAGGGAAUCUUCCGCAAAGGGCGAAAGCCUGACGGAGCAACGCCGCGUGAGUGAUGAAGGUCUUCGGAUCGUAAAACUCUGUUAUUAGGGAAGAACAAAUGUGUAAGUAACUAUGCACGUCUUGACGGUACCUAAUCAGAAAGCCACGGCUAACUACGUG